CCUGUCCCUAGGGUAUGGUGGGUGUGGCUGCCAUGUCACAUGUGCAUCAGUAGGUGGCAGAGAGGAGAGAGGCUAUGUUUCCCCGCAGCAGCAUUCUGACUUAUGAACAUCUGAAUGAUUAGCAACUUAGCAUU